AUUGAACGCUGGCGGCAUGCCUUACACAUGCAAGUCGAACGGCAGCACGGGUGCUUGCACCUGGUGGCGAGUGGCGAACGGGUGAGUAAUACAUCGGAACAUGUCCUGUAGUGGGGGAUAGCCCGGCGAAAGCCGGAUUAAUGCCGCAUACGAUCCACGGAUGAAAGCGGGGGACCUUCGGGCCUCGCGCUAUAGGGUUGGCCGAUGGCUGAUUAGCUAGUUGGUGGGGUAAAGGCCUACCAAGGCGACGCUCAGUAGCUGGUCUGAGAGGACGACCAGCCACACUGGGACUGAGACACGGCCCAGACUCCUACGGGAGGCAGCAGUGGGGAAUUUUGGACAAUGGGCGAAAGCCUGAUCCAGCAAUGCCGCGUGUGUGAAGAAGGCCUUCGGGUUGUAAAGCACUUUUGUCCGGAAAGAAAUCCUUGGCUCUAAUACAGUCGGGGGAUGACGGUACCGGAAGAAUAAGCACCGGCUAACUACGUG
rnacentral:rRNA from 1 species